CGUCACAACUUCCUUGUUUUCUUCACUCCGUCAACAAGACUGGUAUAUAUAUAUAUAAAGGCUCAAUUAGACAUAGCAAUCAAAGCAUCCUAAAGUACUUACGGGAAGAAAUAUCAGUAUCAGUAGUAUCUGGACAAAAAAACAAUGAAAGGAAACAUCGGCGUUGCUCUGUUCUACGUGUUAUUACUUCUACUACCGACGAACAGUAUUGGGAAGAAGCUGGAAGAAGAUGAAACGAAACUCUUCAGAAAAAAACGAAAUCCGCUUAUUCCAGCAGUUUACCUUGGAGCGACUGUUGGACCAGCCGUGUGGGCAAGUCUGGUCGCUUUAGUUGGUGCCACUGCCGUUGCUGCCGCAAAUAUACAUCGAGCGUCUUCUGAUAAUCAUUCCUGUGCUGGCACCAGAGGUUGGUGUAGAUCAAGUUGUUU